AUUGAACGCUGGCGGCAUGCUUUACACAUGCAAGUCGAGCGGCAGCACGGACUUCGGUCUGGUGGCGAGUGGCGAACGGGUGAGUAAUACAUCGGAACGUGCCCAGUUGUGGGGGAUAACUACUCGAAAGAGUAGCUAAUACCGCAUGAGAACUGAGGUUGAAAGCAGGGGAUCGCAAGACCUUGCGCAACUGGAGCGGCCGAUGGCAGAUUAGGUAGUUGGUGGGGUAAAAGCUUACCAAGCCGACGAUCUGUAGCUGGUCUGAGAGGACGACCAGCCACACUGGGACGGAGACACGGCCCAGACUCCUACGGGAGGCAGCAGUGGGGAAUUUUGGACAAUGGGCGAAAGCCUGAUCCAGCAAUGCCGCGUGCAGGAUGAAGGCCUUCGGGUUGUAAACUGCUUUUGUACGGAACGAAAAGCUUCGGGUUAAUACCCUGGAGUCAUGACGGUACCGUAAGAAUAAGCACCGGCUAACUACGUGCCAGCCGCCGCGGUAACAC
rnacentral:rRNA from 1 species